rnacentral:rRNA from 1 species
AGAGUUUGAUCCUGGCUCAGGAUGAACGCUGGCGGUAUGCUUAACACAUGCAAGUCGAACGGAUGUUUUCGGACAUUAGUGGCGGACGGGUGAGUAACGCGUGAGAAUCUAGCUUCAGGUUGGGGACAACAGUUGGAAACGACUGCUAAUACCGAAUAUGCCGAGAGGUGAAAGAUUAAUUGCCUGAAGAAGAGCUCGCGUCUGAUUAGCUAGUUGGUGGGGUAAGAGCUUACCAAGGCGACGAUCGGUAGCUGGUCUGAGAGGACGAUCAGCCACACUGGGACUGAGACACGGCCCAGACUCCUACGGGAGGCAGCAGUGGGGAAUUUUCCGCAAUGGGCGAAAGCCUGACGGAGCAAUANCGCGUGAGGGAAGAAGGCUCUUNGGUUGUAAACCUCUUUUCUUAGGGAAGAAAAAAAUGACGGUACCUAAGGAAUAAGCAUCGGCUAACUCCGUGCCAGCAGCCGCGGUAAUACGGAGGAUGCAAGCGUUAUCCGGAAUGAUUGGGCGUAAAGCGUCCGCAGGUGGCAAGUCAAGUUUGCGGUUAAAGGUUCUGGCUCAACCAGAGACAGGCCGUGAAAACUGACUAGCUAGAGUAUGGUAGGGGCAGAGGGAAUUCCCAGUGUAGCGGUGAAAUGCGUAGAGAUUGGGAAGAACACCGGUGGCGAAAGCGCUCUGCUAGNCCAAAACUGACACUGAGGGACGAAAGCUAGGGGAGCGAAUGGGAUUAGAUACCCCCGUAGUCC